rnacentral:rRNA from 1 species
CCUACGGGUGGCAGCAGUGAGGAAUAUUGGUCAAUGGACGCAAGUCUGAACCAGCCAUGCCGCGUGCAGGAAGACGGCUCGAUGAGUUGUAAACUGCUUUUGUAAGAGGGUAAAAGCAGAUACGCGUAUCUGUCUGAAAGUAUCGUACGAAUAAGGAUCGGCUAACUCCGUGCCAGCAGCCGCGGUAAUACGGAGGAUGCAAGCGUUAUGCGGAUUUAGUGGGUUUAAAGGGUGCGUAGGCGGUCGGAUAAGUGAGAGGUGAAAUCCCGAGGCUCAACUUCGGAAUUGCCUCUGAUACUGUUCGUCUAGUGAGUAUUUGCGGUAGGCGGAAUGUGUGGUGUAGCGGUGAACUGCUU